CCUACGGGGGCUGCAGUGGGGAAUAUUGGACAAUGGGCGAAAGCCUGAUCCAGCCAUGCCGCGUGUGUGAAGAAGGCCUUCGGGUUGUAAAGCACUUUCAGUGGGGAAGAAAGCCUUGGGGCUAAUACCCUCGAGGAAGGACAUCACCCACAGAAGAAGCACCGGCUAACUCCGUGCCAGCAGCCGCGGUAAUACGGAGGGUGCGAGCGUUAAUCGGAAUUACUGGGCGUAAAGCGCGCGUAGGCGGUCUGAUAAGCCGGUUUGUGAAAGCCCCGGGCUCAACCUGGGAACGGCAUCCGGAACUGUCAGGCUAGAGUGCAGGAGAGGAAGGUAGAAUUCCCGGUGUAGCGGUGAAAUGCGUAGAGAUCGGGAGGAAUACCAGUGGCGAAGGCGGCCUUCUGGACUGACACUGACGCUGAGGUGCGAAAGCGUGGGUAGCAAACAGGAUUAGAUACCCCAGUAGUC
rnacentral:rRNA from 1 species